rnacentral:rRNA from 1 species
CCUACGGGUGGCAGCAGUAGGGAAUCUUCCACAAUGGACGAAAGUCUGAUGGAGCAACGCCGCGUGAGUGAAGAAGGGUUUCGGCUCGUAAAGCUCUGUUGGUAGAGAAGAAAGAGAGAGGUAGUAUCUGGCCUUUAUUUGACGGUACUUACUUAGAAAGUCACGGCUAACUACAUGCCAGCAGCCGCGGUAAUACGUAGGUGGCAAGCGUUGUCCGGAUUUAUUGGGAGUAAAGCGAGUGCAGGCGGUUCAAUAGGUCUGAUGUGAAAGCCUUCGGCUCAACCGGAGAAUUGCAUCAGAAACUGUUGGACUUGAGUGCUGAUGAGGAGAGUGGAACGCGAUGUGUAGCGGUGAAAUGCGUAGAUAUAUGGAAGAACACCAGUGGCGAAGGCGGCUCUCUGGUCUGCGACUGACGCUGAGGCUCGAAAGCAUGGGUAGCGAACAGGAUUAGAUACCCUAGUAGUC